AAGUGACAGGUGAUGCAUGGUUGUCGGUCAAGCUCGUGUCGUGAAGAUGUUGGGUUAAGUCCCGCAACGAGGCGGCAACCCUUAUUGUUAGUUGCCAUCAUUUAAGUUGGGCACUCCUAGGCGAGGACUGCCGGUGACAAACCGGAGAGAAGGUGGGGAUAAACGUCAAAUCAUCAUGGCCCCUUAUGACCUGGGCUACACACGUAGGUACAAUGGGAAGUACAACGAGUCGCGAAGUCGCAAAGGUUAAGCUAAUCUCUUAAAGCUUCUACUCAGGUUCGGAUUGUAGGCUGCAACUCGCCUACAUGAAGCCGGAAUCGCUAGUAAUCGCGGAUCAGCACUGCCGCGGUGAAUACGUUCCCGGGCCUUGUACACACCGCCCGUCACACCACGAGAGUUUGUAACACCCGAAGUCGGUGAGGUAACCUUUUGGAGCCAACCGCCUAAGGUGGGAUAGAUGAUUGGGGUGAAGUCGUAACAAGGUAGCCGUAUCGGAAGGUGUGGAUGGAUCACCUCCUU
rnacentral:rRNA from 1 species